rnacentral:rRNA from 1 species
CCUACGGGUGGCAGCAGUAAGGGAUAUUGGUCAAUGGGGGAAACCCUGAACCAGCAACGCCGCGUGAGGGAAGACGGUUUUCGGAUUGUAAACCUCUGUCCUCUGUGAAGAUGAUGACGGUAGCAGAGGAGGAAGCUCCGGCUAACUCCGUGCCAGCAGCCGCGGUAAUACGGAGGAUGCGAGCGUUAUCCGGAUUUAUUGGGUUUAAAGGGUGCGCGGGCGGCCUGUUAAGUCAGCGGUAAAAGCCCGGGGCUCAACCCCGGCGAGCCGUUGAAACUGGCGGGCUGGAGUUGGAGAGAGGUACGCGGAAGGCGCGGUGUAGCGGUGAAAUGCUUAGAUAUCGCGCAGAACCCCGAUUGCGAAGGCAGCGUACCGGCUCCACACUGACGCUGAGGCACGAAAGCGUGGGUAUCGAACAGGAUUAGAUACCCUGGUAGUC